AUGAACCUAUUUGUGAAACAAUACAGCAAGUUGCAGUUCGACCGAGAAGCUGAAGAAGGGUUCCAAGAGAAGAGAACAAGGUUGGGCGGUGUAGUUCUCCGAUACAAUUUCCCUUUGGAAGAGCAUGCGAGCCAGGUGUACACCCGGACGAUGUUUGAGAUGUUUGGUCAGGAUUUGUACCGUGCGGGAAGAUAUGAUGUCGAGGAAGUUGAACGAGGCACGAGGUACCAUGUGCGGCACAUUGAAGCUGAGAAGCGAGAGAAGUGGUGCCGCGAGAUGCAUGCUGUCGAUGUCCAUGAAGGUGGCGCUCGGUACACAUGCGAAUGCGGCUUGUUUGAGCACAUGGGGAUGCUUUGUUGCCAUGCUAUCAAGGUUCUUCUUCAUUUGGGGGUGCGGAAGAUACCUAGCUUUCAUGUGAUGAAGCGAUGGACAAUAGAUGCCCGCGACAACUUGCCGCUUCACCUCAUCCAUUACCAGACAGAUCAAGGCCCUCCGUGGUUGUCAUCCUACCGGCAUACUGCACUACACCUGACAGCACUCGAGUUUGUGCAACUCAGUGACAGCAAUGUUGAUGCAUUCGAUAGAGCAAUGGACAUUUUAAUUGCAGGCAAGGCUGAACUGACCGUUUUGGCAGCGAUCAAAGAUGGCAAAAGUUUGGUUGACCAAACCCAAGUUGGAGAGUCAGCCAAUCCAACCAUGACUAUGAUGGUAGACGGCGCGCAUCAAGAAGAUGAGCGUUCUGAGAUGUUCAUCUCAGCUGAAUGUGGCCUUGGAUCUGUCUCCGUGGGAGCUGAUUCCAGGCGUCCAUUAUCCACUUUAUUGGCCCCUCAUAGGAUGAAGCAGAAGGGGAGGCCGACAACGGCGAGGGGCAAGCCUGGAUAUGAGAUCAAAGACGUGCGAUCAAGAUUUUGCACUCUUUGUAGAGAGAAAGGGCACAAGAGCACGACGAGCCCCCGCAGGGGGGACCUUCCUAAGAAACCCCGCAAAAUCCCUACAUGUGGCAAUUGCGGUGUGGCUGGGCACAAGAAAACAAGUUGUUUCAACCCAGUGUUGCCGUUUGUGAAGAGGCCUCGCGACGGACCAGUGGAGUGA
rnacentral:rRNA from 1 species